UACGGGGGGAGCAAGCGUUGUUCGGAUUUACUGGGCGUAAAGGGCGCGUAGGCGGUCAGCACAAGUCAGUUGUGAAAUCUCCGGGCUUAACUCGGAAAGGUCAACUGAUACUGUGCGACUAGAGUGCAGAAGGGGCAACUGGAAUUCUCGGUGUAGCGGUGAAAUGCGUAGAUAUCGAGAGGAACACCUGCGGCGAAGGCGGGUUGCUGGGCUGACACUGACGCUGAUGCACGAAAGCGUGGGGA
rnacentral:rRNA from 1 species